rnacentral:rRNA from 1 species
AGGUAGUUGGUGAGGUAACGGCCCACCAAGCCGACGAUCGGUAGCCGACCUGAGAGGGUGAUCGGCCACAUUGGGACUGAGACACGGCCCAAACUCCUACGGGAGGCAGCAGUGGGAAUAUUGGGCAAUGGGGGGAACCCUGACCCAGCAACGCCGCGUGGAGGAAGAAGGUUUUCGGAUCGUAAACUCCUGUCCUUGGAGACGAGUAGAAGACGGUAUCCAAGGAGGAAGCCCCGGCUAACUACGUGCCAGCAGCCGCGGUAAUACGUAGGGGGCAAGCGUUGUCCGGAAUAAUUGGGCGUAAAGGGCGCGUAGGCGGCUCGGUAAGUCUGGAGUGAAAGUCCUGCUUUUAAGGUGGGAAUUGCUUUGGAUACUGUCGGGCUUGAGUGCAGGAGAGGUUAGUGGAAUUCCCAGUGUAGCGGUGAAAUGCGUAGAGAUUGGGAGGAACACCAGUGGCGAAGGCGACUAACUGGACUGUAACUGACGCUGAGGCGCGAAAGUGUGGGGAGCAAACAGGAUUAGAUACCCUGGUAGUCCACACUGUAAACGAUGAAUGCUAGGUGUAGGGGGUAUCGACCCCUUCUGUGCCGCAGUCAACACAAUAAGCAUUCCGCCUGGGGAGUACGGCCGCGAGGUUGAAACUCAAAGGAAUUGACGGGGGCCCGCACAAGCAGCGGAGCAUGUGGUUUAAUUCGACGCAACGCGAAGAACCUUACCAGGUCUUGACAUCCACUUAAACUUACAGAGAUGUAAGGUGUGCUUGCACAAAGUGAGACAGGUGGUGCAUGGUUGUCGUCAGCUCGUGUCGUGAGAUGUUGGGUUAGGUCCCGCAACGAGCGCAACCCUUAUCUUCAGUUACUAACGCGUAGAGGUGAGGACUCUGAAGAGACUGCCGGGGACAACUCGGAGGAAGGUGGGGACGACGUCAAAUCAUCAUGCCCCUUAUGACCUGGGCUACACACGUGCUACAAUGGCCACGACAGAGAGAAGCGAAAUCGCAAGGUAGAGCGGAACUCAAAAAAGUGGUCCCAGUUCGGAUUGUGGGCUGCAACCCGCCCACAUGAAGUCGGAGUUGCUAGUAAUCGCGGAUCAGCAUGCCGCGGUGAAUACGUUCCCGGGCCUUGUACACACCGCCCGUCACACCAUGGGAGUUGGGAGUGCCCAAAGCCGGUGAGGCAACCGCAAGGAGCCAGCCGUCUAAGGCAAGACCAAUGACUGGGGUGAAGUCGUAACAAGGUAGCCGUAUCGGAAGGUGCGGCUG